AGGCAGCCCCUAUGCCCCAUUACAAUGGCAAUGGAGGUGUUGCGUUGCUCGGAGAGUAAACCUUCUGCUCUUCAGAUUAGCUGAGGGGGAGGCUCUGCUUCCCUCCUUGAAGCUUGUCUAGUAGUCUUAAGAACAUC